rnacentral:lncRNA from 1 species
AGCGGGGCAGCAAGGACAAGCAGGGCAGCUGUGUCUACCCAUGGGCCAUGGCAUUCUCACCCUGGAGGAUGCAGAUCCCGGUGCAUCCUGGAUGUUUGUUGAGCGACUGCUGUUGUGUCAGUCAUCCUGCAAGACUGAGUGACAGAGAUGGCCAAGACCACCCCAGCACAAAUGCUGUGUUCCACUGUGUCUCGUGAGAGGUUCCUUGGCAUGUCUCAUUUCUUACUGUGUAAAGUUAAAAAUACUAGUCGUUUUUAGGCCAGCCAGGGCUUCAGAGAGAGGCCCUGCCUCAGAGAGGUACAUUUCCUCGGAAAGGUAGCACUCAAAAAACAAGCAUACCACCCAAAAAAAAAAAAAAAAAAAAAAAAAAAAAAAAAAAGUUUUAAAGUAACAUGAUGAAUAAUUUGAUUAAACUUGUGGUUAGAAAAAUUAUCCAGUCAGGCAGUGGUGGCUCACACCUUUAAUCCUUGUGCUAGGGCAGCAGAGGCAGGUGAAUCUCUGAGUUUGAAGUCAGCCUGGUCUACAAAGUGAGUUCGGGGACAGCCAGGGCUACACAGAGAAACCCUUUCUCAAAACCCAAAACAAACAG